GGUUCCGUAGUUCAAUGGAUAGAACGGGAGUUUCCUAAACUCUAAAUGCAGGUUCGAUUCCUGCCGGAACCA
rnacentral:tRNA from 1 species